rnacentral:rRNA from 1 species
GAUGAACGCUGGCGGCGUGCCUAAUACAUGCAAGUCGAGCGAAUGGAUUAGGAGCUUGCUCUUAUGAAGUUAGCGACGGACGGGUGAGUAACACGUGGGCAGCCUGCCCAUAAGACUGGGAUAACUCCGGGAAACCGGGGCUAAUACCGGAUAACAUUUUGAACCGCAUGGUUCGAAAUUGAAAGGCGGCUUCGGCUGUCACUUAUGGAUGGACCCGCGUCGCAUUAGCGAGUUGGUGAGGUAACGGCUCACCAAGGCAACGAUGCGUAGCCGACCUGAGAGGGUGAUCGGCCACACUGGGACUGAGACACGGCCCAGACUCCUACGGGAGGCAGCAGUAGGGAAUCUUCCGCAAUGGACGAAAGUCUGACAGAGCAACGCCGCGUGAGUGAUGAAGGCUUUCGGGUCGUAAAACUCUGUUGUUAGGGAAGAACAAGUGCUAGUUGAAUAAGCUGGCACCUUGACGGUACCUAACCAGAAAGCCACGGCUAACUACGUGCCAGCCGCCGCAGUAA